rnacentral:misc_RNA from 1 species
GAAAUGCGAUAAGUAAUGUGAAUUGCAGAAUUCAGUGAAUCAUCGAAUCUUUGAACGCACCUUGCGCUCCUUGGUAUUCCUUGGAGCAUGCCUGUUUGAGUAUCAUGAAAUCUUCAAAGUAAAUCUUUUGUGAACUCAAUUGGUUUCUACUUUGGUAUUGGAGGUCUUUGCAGCUUCACACCUGCUCCUCUUUGUUCAUUAGCUGGAUCUCAGUGUUAUGCUUGGUUCCACUCGGCGUGAUAAGUUAUCUAUCGCUGAGGACACUGUAAAAGGUGGCCAAGGUAAAUGCAGAUGAACCGCUUCUAAUAGUCCAUUGACUUGGACAAUACUUUUAUGAUCUGAUCUCAAAUCAGGUAGGACUACCCGCUGAACUUAAGC